rnacentral:rRNA from 1 species
GACGAACGCUGGCGGCGUGCUUAACACAUGCAAGUCGAGCGGUAAGGCCCUUUCGGGGGUACGACGAGCGGCGAACGGGUGAGUAACACGUGGGUGACCUGCCCUCAGCUCUGGGAUAAGCCUGGGAAACCGGGUCUAAUACCGGAUAUGACUCCAUGACGCAUGUUGUGGGGUGGAAAGCCUUGUGCGGCUGAGGAUGGGCCCGCGGCCUAUCAGCUUGUUGGUGGGGUGAUGGCCUACCAAGGCGACGACGGGUAGCCGGCCUGAGAGGGCGACCGGCCACACUGGGACUGAGACACUGCCCGGACACCUAUGGGUGGCUGCAGUAACGAAUCUUCCGCAAUGGGCGAAAGCCUGACGGAGCGACGCCGCGUGGAGGAAU